CCAAGAGUUGGACACCCCAUGGACUCCUUGUUAGACUAGGUUUUAUGACCUAGUCUACCAUAUAAAAAAGUUGCAGCCCCAUAUGCUAUGAAAUAAGAGUAAAAAAUUUAUGGCUUUUAGAUAAAAAUAGCAGAGGAGAAAGAGGAAGGCAUGGGUGGUUUGAGACACCAAAAUCCUUGGAGAAGAGUCUUCUAUCAAGAGAUCAAAAUUUGAUGUCUUGUAGAAACAAAAGGUA
rnacentral:lncRNA from 1 species